ACUUGAUCUUGAACUUUUGAAACUUAUAGGAUGAUUAUUUUCUUAGGAACUUUAAUUCUGGUCAGUCACAAUGAUUACAUUCGUCAUAUUUUCCUAAGCUCGAAGCUAAUACUAAUUUUCCUAUUUUUUAUUGCAUCACAAGAAUUAAGCACCAAAGACAAUAAUGCAUCAAGAGUUUCUCACUAUAGCUCAUUCAUAUUUCAUUGUUUAUGAAUUGGAUCUUCAAUUGUUGAUUGAUUAUUGUAAUACCCCGCAAAAAAAAAAAUUGAAAUUUAUUUUAUGAGUUUUCAAAAAUAUUGAGUCGUUUGCGAAUUUGUGGUUCGAUUUAUGGUUUGAUUCGUUGUUACGAUUAUUAUUGUGAAUCCAUAAUUAGCUAUUUACCAAUAUUUUUUUUAAAAGAAAAUAAAUAAAUAAAUAAUUGUUAUAUGUCUCAUACGUAAAAGAUGUUAUUAAUUUAAUCUAAAUUUUAUAAAUGGAUUAAAUUAACACAAAACCCAACCUUGUCAAAACGUGCAUUAGAGUAGAUUAAUUAUUUUUCUUUUCCAUGUAUUUUUCUUUCUUUCUUUAACAGGUCUAUAUAGAGACCUUUUACCAUUAGACUUCGUAAGCUUUUAAAAUUCUGUUUUAAAACCAAACUCAUUCCAUUCAAUCAAACAAACCCUAGCCGACUUCUUCACCUCAAAAGCAUUCUGAUAAUAUUCACCAUCCAUUCCUCUCGUGGCUUUGAAGUUUGGUAUGUUUCUCACGUUUCUUUUCCUUGUUUAUUCGAUAUCGUCACGUUCGGUUUCUUAGCUCAUUUUUUUUUAUUUUAAGCGUUAGAUUUGGAUCCGUCUCGUCCUAGUUGUUGUAGACACACACCUCUACGAUUCUCAACUUCGUUUUAGUUAAACGACUUGUCGACUGUUCGUGCUACGUAGACGAAUCAGGAGUAGUUGCUUGCCAGUUAUCACGUGGAUUAGCAAGCAGGUUAUGAUUUGAGC